ensembl:lncRNA
GUUCGUGUCUAUGGGGUGGAUGUUAGACUGAGCGCGAAGCUGAAUUUUAUAUCGUCGUUUGUAAGGCACCAGUGCAGUAGUUUGUUUUGUGAUAUCUGGUUGCUCUUUCUUCUAGGAAACUAUUGACUGCUUGGCUUAACUGAAGAAAUCUAUUAAAUGUGUGUUGUAAUUUUACUUCCUGAAAGCAAAUAUGGAAAACUUAAUGAGAAGAGGAAAAUCUCAAGCUAAUAGGGAGUGGGGUGUUUUAUGGUGAUUUUGCGUGGGGAUGGAAGUACUUCAUUCCAGGGGGUUACUGCAGCAGUCAGGAGACUUUUAUGUGUGGUUGAGCUUCCAGGUCUCACAGUGUGUAUGAAGUAUAAGUUGCUAAGGUGUUUGUACAGUGUGAUUGGAUAUGAGGCUUCAGAUGGAGCUCUUAAGGCUGAAUAGUGUGGAUAUAGUUGGAAGAAAAAAUGUUAUGUUAAACCAACUUCUUGAUGGAAUAAGGGUCACAUCUAGGAUUUAAAAAAAUACAAAUCACUUAUGCUCAAACUGAGAACUGUGUUACUCAGCAGGCAGUUACUGUGCUCAAUCAUUGUCAUAUCAGAAAUCAUGUGGGUAAGAGAACUGAUUUCUUCUAGGUUCCCCCACCUUUUCUGGCACAGAGGGGAGAUAAUGGGAGCAGUUGGGGUGUAUGUCCACUAGCUGCUGUCAGAUCCUACCUUCUUCUCCAGGCAGCCAGCUUUCUUGGAAGGCAUUGGUUCUGAGACAGCUGCAAGAUAUCAAAGAUGAUUGUUUGCCAUCUGUGAGGAGAACAUUCCCUUUACAGGUAGGUAUGUCUAGGGCAGGAACUAGUUUUGUGUGCAACAGAGUAGAUGCUCUAUUUAACUGUUGAAAGAAUGUGAAACUUUACCGGGACAGGGGAGGAAAAGCCUAACAUGCUUCUGACUUGAACCUUAACUAAAACUUCUGAAUUGGUUUUGUUAAGUGCAGCUGAAUAUGUUACAAUGUAUUGUAUACUCCCCAGGGGAGGAGGGAGGAGUACAGCUGUUAGUCAGAGUUUAGAAUCCGUUAAUUGUAUUUUCUACUUACUUGUUUUAAUGCAUAUACAGCCUUUAGGAGAGUGGGUGGUGUCCAGCGUACGUGUCCUGCUUAACUUUAGCACUGUCUGUAGUGAUGAAAAAAAUUCUGUCGGCGGUCAUGAGCACAGCUUGAAUGCUUUGAAUGGCCUUCUAGAAAAGCGUGUUUGUCCCCAUUGAUUGAAAACACAGUUUUCUUCACAUCAGCUACCUUUAUGGGUUGAAGUUAAUUUCUAUCAUGAUGAUAAAAAGGCUAAUGCAAUCCGUGUAUAAAUGCUAUAAUAUGCUAAGCAGGCAUGAAAAGACUGUGCAGCCUUGGCAGUUGGCACAGUUAUAAUUGCUGCUGGAAUAUCGUGUAGUGUUUGCAGUUCCAGAAGGAAGCAAAAAGCUGCAGAAUUCAGAGGAGCUUUUUUUUUUUCCCUUUAUAAAUUCAAGUAUGGAAAACAUCUCCCAAGGUUGAGAAGCCUAUUCUUUCAGUGUAUCAAAGCAAAGGAUUUUAUGAUUGGUCUAUAAAUGCAUACACCCCAUCAGUAGUUUGGUAGAGGAUUAAUCAGUUAAACCAGUAGACAAAAUACAGCAAAAAUUAAUCUUGUCGUGGAGAGGAACUAACUUGCCCAGCAGUAGGAAUACAUACGUAAUCAUUUAUGUAAAUUGCUUUUAUUACAACAUCUAAUUAGGAUGUUUUUCAGGAGUGUAUCUUGUAGUUCAGGUACAGAUAUGGUAGGAAUUCAUGUAGGAAAAUCUCAUGACGUGUCAAGGGGGGCAUCAAGCUGAAGGAUUUUAAAGGUUCUUCUGGCCUAUUAUUCUAAUCAUAUUAUAACAAAUUUCAUCU